GUGGCCAGUGAUGAAGACCUCUCCCACUCAUCUUCAAGUUUCCUGACCAGUAGAUGACUCUGCAUACAUUGCCAUCCAAGGCCUG